GGCAGGCCAGUACGCAGCAUGUCUCGCAUAGGAACUUCUGCCUAUGGAAAUUUUCUAAUGAGAGGAACAAUAGCCACGUUCCUUCUACUGGCACACAUAGUACUGCACACUGUUAAUGCUGGAUACUGGAUUGACCCAAGCAGUGAAGACGUGACGUUUGUGGACGACCAAAAGCCAUGGCGAACCAGACCGCAGGAUUUAUAUUACGAUGGUCUUGGUUUCAUGGGUUUGAAAACGCUGCGACUGACAGAAACUGAGAAAGGAUUUCGAUCCCCAACGAAGUCCAGAAUGAAGUCAUUACUGCAGGAAUACGGGUAUAUUGACUCCGGUACAAUGUGUAAGAUUCUUGCCCUCAACACUACAAUUGAAGAAUGCCAUCCUCUUUGAAUUGCGGUUAGUCACUGUCACACACAAUGUAUAUAUGACCUUCGAAAGCUGAAGAAAAGGAACAGACGGCCCUAUGAAAGUGCACAACGUAGCACAGCGUAUUUGGUGUGUUAAGGCAAAGUAUAUUUGAUCUGUGUCUUUUGGAGCAGUAUGCAAUUGUAUUUGAAUCGUGAUGUAUUCCAUAGUUUACUCAGGAAAAAAGGGGCGCACUCUCUUUUAUGUACUAAAAAAAAAUUAUGGUGUUUUACGUGCCAAAACCACUUUCUGAUUAUGAGGCACGCCGUAGUGGGGGACUCCGGAAAUUUCGACCACCUGGGGUUCUUUAACGUGCACCUAAAUCUAAGUACACGGGUGUUUUCGCAUUUCGCCCCCAUCAAAAUGCGGCCGCCGCGGCCGGGACUCGAUCCCGCGACCUCGUGCUCAGCAGCCUAACACCAUAGCCACUGAGCAACCACGGCGGGUCUUUUAUGUACUAUAUAGAUAAUACACGCUUUUCACUUUACGUAAAUAUCGCCUAAGUCAAAUGUUUUAUUAAGCAGCAUCAGUUCAUGGAUAGAUGUAUCCGAUAGGUUUGUUUCGAUUAGCUUUGUUGAUCUUGUAUAGUCACCUACCUGCUUGUAAUAAUACUCGCAAAAUAAACGAAUUUAU